GUGCUCGUGUUGGCAGCAGAUAUGCUAACAUCUGAACGAUACAGGGAUUGUUAGCAUGGCCCCUGCGAAAGGAUAGCACGGAAAUGCAUGGUGCGCUCCAUUAUUUU
ensembl:snRNA Gm24283 U6 spliceosomal RNA